GGUGUGAGAGAGCUCUUUUGCCCCAGUGGCCUAACACGCAGGAUAAUUGCACAUCAUGUGAUAUGACCAUUUUGGUGUUAAAACAGCAAUUAACUAUCCUGCGAAGCGUCUGAGCUUGCUGAGAUAAUCAAUAUCCACGUUUUUAUCGGCUUUGGAAAAGCGCGAGCCCUCCUUCGGGUCCCCAAAACCGUUUCACGAGCAAAACAGAGCUGGAGGUAAUGAGACUAGGAAAUAGUGAUCGGUUGUUGAUGGUGUUGGAAGGUUGAUUCAUUGUAAUUAUCAAGCAGGCCAGGGACUGCUUCCAAAGGAGGGGUGAUCACGUGGCAAGCGGGAUGUCAACGAAUCUUGCCUUUUCGUCUUGCCUUUCCUUCCCGCUCUGAGGGUGCCUACAGCCUAUUAUCAGCGAGGGAGGAGACCGAUGUGCUGCAAAUGCGUCUUUAUG
rnacentral:sRNA from 1 species